rnacentral:rRNA from 1 species
GAACGGGUGAGUAAUAUAUCGGAACGUACCUAGUAAUGGGGGAUAACUAUCCGAAAGGAUAGCUAAUACCGCAUACGCCCUGAGGGGGAAAGAGGGGGAUCGCAAGACCUCUCGUUAUUAGAGCGGCCGAUAUCAGAUUAGCUAGUUGGUGAGGUAAAGGCUCACCAAGGCGACGAUCUGUAGCGGGUCUUAGAGGACGAUCCGCCACACUGGAACUGAGACACGGUCCAGACUCC